AACGAACGCUGGCGGCAGGCUUAACACAUGCAAGUCGAACGCAUCCUUCGGGGUGAGUGGCAGACGGGUGAGUAACGCGUGGGAACGUGCCCUUCAGUUCGGGAUAACCCAGGGAAACUUGGGCUAAUACCGGAUACGUGCGAGAGCAGAAAGAUUUAUCGCUGAAGGAUCGGCCCGCGUCUGAUUAGCUAGUUGGUGGGGUAAUGGCCCACCAAGGCGACGACCAGUAGCUGGUCUGAGAGGAUGAUCAGCCAUAUUGGGACUGAGACAAGGCCCAAACUCCUACGGGAGGCAGCAGUGGGAAAUAUUGGACAAUGGGCGCAAGCCUGAUCCAGCCAUGCCGCGUGAGUGAUGAAGGCCUUAGGGUUGUAAAGCUCUUUCGUCCGGGACGAUAAUGACGGUACCGGAAGAAGAAGCCCCGGCUAACUUCGUGCCAGCCGCCGCGGUAACAC
rnacentral:rRNA from 1 species